rnacentral:rRNA from 1 species
UACGGAGGGUGCAAGCGUUAUCCGGAUUUACUGGGUUUAAAGGGUGCGUAGGUGGGCAGGUAAGUCAGUGGUGAAAUCUCCGAGCUUAACUCGGAAACUGCCAUUGAUACUAUCUGUCUUGAAUAUCCUGGAGGUGAGCGGAAUAUGUCAUGUAGCGGUGAAAAUGCUUAGAUAUGACAUAGAAACACCCAAUUGCGAAGGCAGCUCACUACGGGGAUAAUUUGACGCUGAGGCACGAAAAGCGUGGGGGAUCAAACAGG